rnacentral:rRNA from 1 species
AGUGAACGCUGGCGGUAGGCCUAACACAUGCAAGUCGAACGGCAGCACAGUAAGAGCUUGCUCUUACGGGUGGCGAGUGGCGGACGGGUGAGGAAUACGUCGGAAUCUACUUUUUCGUGGGGGAUAACGUAGGGAAACUUACGCUAAUACCGCAUAAGACCUACGGGUGAAAGCAGGGGAUCUUCGGACCUUGCGCGAUUGAAUGAGCCGAUGUCGGAUUAGCUAGUUGGCGGGGUAAAGGCCCACCAAGGCGACGAUCCGUAGCUGGUCUGAGAGGAUGAUCAGCCACACUGGAACUGAGACACGGUCCAGACUCCUACGGGAGGCAGCAGUGGGGAAUAUUGGACAAUGGGCGCAAGCCUGACCCAGCCAUACCGCGUGGGUGAAGAAGGCCUUCGGGUUGUAAAGCCCUUUUGUUGGGAAAGAAAAGCAGCAGGUUAAUACCCCGCUGUUCUGACGGUACCCAAAGAAUAAGCACCGGCUAACUUCGUG